rnacentral:misc_RNA from 1 species
UCACCCCUCAAGCCCCGUGCUUGGUGUUGGACGGCCGGUCGAGCGAUCGACCCCUCCGAAAGACAAUGACGGCGGCCUGUGGUUCCCCCGGUACACUGAGCUUUUCACCGAGCACGUAUCGGACAAGGGCACCCGGGACCCGGUCCUCUCCUUCUCGGAAGGAAACUUCUCGA